AUGGAAAUCGAAUCAACCUUAUUUUGCACAAAAUCUUUAAAAAUAGCACGUACCGUGGGGGGUCCAGUGUUAAUCAGCGCUGAAGGGGGCAGGAGGCAGCUGGAGGUAGGGAGAGCAUCUUCCCUUCCUUCCCGGGAGCCCAGGGGUCCCUGCAGGGCCUGCGCCCCCACCCCGGGCCACCCCGCGGUCGGAGGACGAGGUGCCGCAGGAACCUCUUGCUUUUUCACUGGGGAAUCUGUAAGGAGGAGAGCAGGGCUGCCCCCCCAACGUGUCAGCAGGGCACCGUGUCCAAGCGCAGAAUCGCCCGCGGGGCCCCGGAGGACAAGGGGGCGGGGAAGUUGGACACAAAGAGUGUGGCCUUCGGCAGAGGCCCGAGGGGGGGUCCCCGCAAUGUUCGCGGGCGCAGCGGGGCCUCCGCGGGGGCCGUCCGGGUGCGGGUGGCCCCUGGCGCCCGAGCUCCGAGCUCCGAGCCUGCGAGCCUCGCGCGGUCCCGGCGACGGUGGGCGAGCGGCGGGGGGGCCGGGCCGGGGCCCCGCGGGGCCGAGCCUGGCGGCGGCGCGCGCUCCCUCACCCGAGCUGCGCGCCCCAGUGCACGCGCGCCCGGCGGAGGCGGAGGCCGCUCCCGCCCCCGCGGCGCGCUCCUCUGAGCGGCUGGGCCUCCGCGGACCGGGAACAAGAAGAGUGUGGUGACACCAUAUGGAAACACCUGAUGUUCCAACAAAGGAAGAGGCCCCUUCCCCUAAGUGAGGAAGGCCAGUUCUCCGGCCGUCAUGGUGUUUUCCUAGCACCCAGCCCCCCUCCACAAGUGAAUCAGACAGCCCCUCCCGCGGGGGUGAAGAGUGUGGAUGCCUGGACACAGACUACCGUACACCCGAGUCGCCCAUGGGAGUCUUACAAAUAAAAGGGAGCUCUGUGGGGUGCGCUGCACGGGCACGGGGUUAAAAUCCCAGUGCUGAGGUUUAGAGGCAGCCUGCCCUGGACCUAACUGAAGGGUGCGCCCUGGCUCCUCUUAGCCCUGCUGGUAGCUCAGCACCGGAGACCGACCUGCGGGGGGCCCCCCCAGAGGCCAAGGCUCGGCCGGAGGGAGCAUCGGGGGAGCAUCGGGGAGCAUCGCGGCCUGGAGGGAGCAUCGGGGAGCAUCGCGGCCUGGAGGGAGCAUCGGGGGAGCAUCGCGGCCUGGAGGGAGCAUCGGGGGAGCAUCGCGGCCUGGAGGGAGCAUCGGGGAGCAUCGCGGCCUGGAGGGAGCAUCGGGGGAGCAUCGCGGCCUGGAGGGAGCAUCGGGGGAGCAUCGCGGCCUGGAGGGAGCAUCGGGGGAGCAUCGGGGAGCCCUGGGGUGCGGCCUGGAGGCGAAGCCCACGGACCCCGCGUCCGAGGCUGGCGGGGCUGCGCGCCGGGCGCACAGGCCCCACCUCGCGGGAGCCUCGGGACUGUGCACCCAGAAGCGGAGCCCGGGAGCCGGGCCCAGGGGCCGCGGGGCCUUGAGGCGCGCGGGGCAGGGCCGGUGAUGCCGGGCUGCUGAGCGGGCGGGGCGGCG
rnacentral:lncRNA from 1 species